rnacentral:rRNA from 1 species
UACACUCCUACGGGAGGCAGCAGUGGGGAAUUUUGGACAAUGGGCGAAAGCCUGAUCCAGCAAUGCCGCGUGUGUGAAGAAGGCCUUCGGGUUGUAAAGCACUUUUGUCCGGAAAGAAAUCCUUGGCUCUAAUACAGUCGGGGGAUGACGGUACCGGAAGAAUAAGCACCGGCUAACUACGUGCCAGCAGCCGCGGUAAUACGUAGGGUGCGAGCGUUAAUCGGAAUUACUGGGCGUAAAGCGUGCGCAGGCGGUUUGCUAAGACCGAUGUGAAAUCCCCGGGCUCAACCUGGGAACUGCAUUGGUGACUGGCAGGCUAGAGUAUGGCAGAGGGGGGUAGAAUUCCACGUGUAGCAGUGAAAUGCGUAGAGAUGUGGAGGAAUACCGAUGGCGAAGGCAGCCCCCUGGGCCAAUACUGACGCUCAUGCACGAAAGCGUGGGGAGCAAACAGGAUUAGAAACCCUUGUAGUCCC